UCUGUGUGCGGUUUGUGUGGUGCGUGAAAAAUUUUCCCGUUUUGUGUUGGUGGAUAGCGGAAACAUGAAAACUUGUUCAAUCUGAUUGUUAAUUAAUGGAAAAAGUAAAUAAAAGAGCUAUUAUAAGUAAAUCUAAGCGAAAAGUUUAAUACUAUUUCUUAGUAUUAAAUGACAAAUAAAUUUGUUUCUAUGCUUAGUAAACAUUUUCACUAUAAAGAGGAAAGUUUUUAAUGCUCUCGGUUUUGUGUAAGCGAGCAGAAUUCAGUGUUGUGGAUUUGAGUUUUACAACAAUCGGUUAAUAAAAAGGUAAG